GACGAACGCUGGCGGCGCGCUUAACACGUGCAAGCCGAGCGAUGAAAUCUUAACAGAUCCCUUCGGGGUGAAGAUAAGACGGAUUAGCGGCGGACGGGUGAGUAACACGUGAGUAACCUGCCUUUUACACAGGGAUAGCCUCAGGAAACCGGGAUUAAAACCUGAUGAAACUAUCAAAUCACAUGAUUAAGAAAGUUAAAACUCCGGUGGUAAAAGAUGGACUCGCGUCCCAUUAGCUAGUUGGUGAAGGUAACGGCCCACCAAGGCAACGAUGGGUAGCCGGGCUGGGAGGGUGAACGGCCGCAUUUGAACUGAGAAACGGUCCAAACUCCUACGGAAGGCAGCAGAAGGGAAUAUUGCACGAUGGGGGAAGACCUGAUGCAGCGACGCCGCGUGAGCGAAGAAGGCCUUCGGGUCGUAAAGCUCUUUUAUAUGGGAAGAUAAUGACGGUACCAUAAGAAAAAGCCCCGGCUAACUACGUG
rnacentral:rRNA from 1 species